AGAGUUUGAUCCUGGCUCAGAAUCAACGCUGGCGGCGUGCCUAACACAUGCAAGUCGAACGAGAAAGUGGGGGCAACCCUGCGAGUACAGUGGCAGACGGGUGAGUAACACGUGAACAACCUACCCUUGAGUGGGGAAUAACACCGCGAAAGCGGUGCUAAUACCGCAUAAAAUCUUCGGGUCGCAUGACGUGGAGAUCAAAAGCGCAAGUUGCUUGAGGAGGGGUUCGCGGCUGAUUAGCUAGUUGGUGAGGUAACGGCCCACCAAGGCAACGAUCAGUAGCCGGCCUGAGAGGGCGAACGGCCACACUGGAACUGGGACACGGUCCAGACUCCUACGGGAGGCAGCAGUGGGGAAUUUUGCGCAAUGGGCGAAAGCCUGACGCAGCAACGCCGCGUGGAGGAUGAAGGCCUUCGGGUCGUAAACUCCUGUCGAUGGGGACGAAGUUCUCGCAAGAGGAUUGACUGUACCCGUUGAGGAAGCCACGGCUAACUCCGUGCCAGCAGCCGCGGUAAUACGGGGGUGGCAAGCGUUGUUCGGAAUUACUGGGCGUAAAGGGCGCGUAGGCGGCAUAACAAGUCAGAUGUGAAAGCCCCGAGCUCAACUCGGGAACUGCAUCUGAAACUGUAUUGCUUGAGUUCUGGAGGGGGUAGUGGAAUUCCCAGUGUAGCGGUGAAAUGCGUAGAUAUUGGGAGGAACACCUGCGGCGAAGGCGGCUACCUGGACAGUGACUGACGCUGAGGCGCGAAAGCUAGGGGAGCGAACGGGAUUAGAUACCCCGGUAGUCCUAGCCGUAAACG
rnacentral:rRNA from 1 species